UGCUGGUCCUCGAAAAGGGACACGUGCACGCUCUGUUUACACAUCCACUCACACCUGUGCACCCUUGUAGUUCUACGGCCUGGGGCUCUGUCCCUCUCGCUGUGGUCCUACGUCUUUACACACACACACCGUAACAAAGUAUCAUGGAAUGUAUGCCGCGUCUAACGCAAUACAAUACAACUUUCAGCAACGGAUCUCUUGGCUCUCGCAUCGAUGAAGAACGCAGCGAAAUGCGAUAAGUAAUGUGAAUUGCAGAAUUCAGUGAAUCAUCGAAUCUUUGAACGCACCUUGCGCCCUUUGGCUAUUCCGAAGGGCAUGCCUGUUUGAGUAUCAUGAACACCUCAACUCUCAUGGUCUGCCAUGAUGAGCUUGGACUUUGGGGUCUUGCUGGCUUAACUGCCGGCUCCUCUCAAUGAUCAGCUUGCCAGUGUUUGGUGGCGUCGCAGGUGUGAUAACUAUCUACGCUUGUGGUCUUCCAUCAGGUUACCUUCAGUAUGGAGUUCGCUGGAGCUCACAGAUGUCUCUCCUUGGGGAGGAC
rnacentral:rRNA from 1 species